rnacentral:rRNA from 1 species
CAGACGGCUCAGUAACACGUAGUCAACCUAACCUUUGGACGUGGAUAAUCUCGGGAAACUGAGGAUAAACCACGAUAGAUAACGGUGCCUGGAAUGGCCCAUUGUCCAAACAGUUUACUGCCAAGGGAUGGGACUGCGGCCUAUCAGCUUGUUGGUGAGGUAAUGGCCCACCAAGGCUAUAACAGGUACGGGCUCUGAGAGGAGAAGCCCGGAGAUGGGUACUGAGACACGGACCCAGGCCCUAUGGGGCGCAGCAGGCGAGAAACCUUAGCAAUGUGCGAAAGCACGACUGGGUCAGUCCGAGUGAUUUCUGAUAAAGGAAUCUUUUGCCCGUCCUAAAAGCACGGGCGAAUAAGGGGUGGGCAAGUCUGGUGUCAGCCGCCGCGGUAAUACCAGCACCUCGAGUGGUCAGGACGAUUAUUGGGCCUAAAGCAUCCGUAGCUGGUUUUGCAAGUCUCCGGUUAAAUCCACCUGCUUAACAGAUGGGCCGCUGGAGAUACUACAAGACUAGGGAGUGGGAGAGGCAGACGGUAUUCGGGGGGUAGGGGGUAAAAUCCUCUGAUCCUUUGAGGACCACCAGUGGCGAAGGCGGUCUGCCAGAACACGUUCGACAGUGAGGGAUGAAAGCUGGGGGAGCAAACC